CCUACGGGAGGCAGCAGUAGGGAAUCUUCCACAAUGGGCGAAAGCCUGAUGGAGCAACGCCGCGUGGGUGAAGAAGGUCCUCGGAUCGUUAAACCCUGUUGUUAGAGAAGAAAGUGCGUGAGAGUAACUGUUCACGUUUCGACGGUAUCUAACCAGAAAGCCACGGCUAACUACGUGCCAGCAGCCGCGGUAAUACGGAGGUGGCAAGCGUUAUCCGGAUUUAUUGGGCGUAAAGGGAACGCGGGCGGUCUUUUAAGUCUGAUGUGAAAGCCUUCGGCUUAACCGGAGUAGUGCAUUGGAAACUGGGAGACUUGAGUGCAGAAGAGGAGAGUGGAACUCCAGGUGUAGCGGUGAAAUGCGUAGAUAUAUGGAAGAACACCAGUGGCGAAGGCGGCUCUCUGGUCUGUAACUGACGCUGAGGUUCGAAAGCGUGGGUAGCAAACAGGAUUAGAUACCCUUGUAGUC
rnacentral:rRNA from 1 species